rnacentral:rRNA from 1 species
UGGGGUAUAUUGCACAAUGGGCGAAAGCCUGAUGCAGCGACGCCGCGUGGGGGAUGAAGGCCUUCGGGUUGUAAACUUCUUUUGCUCUGAACAAGGCAUGCUAAUGGGUGUGUUGAGUGUAGGGGUUGAUUAGCGCCGGCUAACUACGUGCCAGCAGCCGCGGUAAUACGUAGGGCGCGAGCGUGGUCCGGAAUUAUUGGGCGUAAAGGGCUUGUAGGUGGCUGGUUGCGUCUGUCGUGAAAGCUCAUGGCUUAACUGGGGGUUUGCGGUGGGUACGGGCUGGCUUGAGUGAAGUAGGAGAGGCUAUAAUUACUGGUGUAGCGGUGGAAUGCGCGGAUAGCAGGAGGAAUGACGGUGGCGAAGGAGGGUGUCUGGGUUGUUACUGACACUGAGGAGCGAAAGCAUGGGGAGCGAACAGG